rnacentral:tRNA from 2 species
GGAGGGAUCGCAUAGUCCGGCCGAGUGCGCCCGCCUCGAAAGCGGGUAGGCCCGUGAGGGUCUCGAGGGUUCGAAUCCCUCUCCCUCCG